rnacentral:tRNA from 1 species
GCGCGAUUAGCUCAGCGGGAGAGCGCUACCUUGACACGGUAGAGGUCGCUGGUUCGAUCCCAGCAUCGCGCACCG